UGGGUCGGCAAGACGGUCGCGUCGGUCGGGGGCUCGCUCCCGACCGCCGAGGAACGUCCGGGCUCCACAGAGCAGGGCGGUGGGCAACACCCACCCGGGGCGACCCGCGAGACAGUGCAACAGAGAGCAGACCGCCUCGGUCACGUCGUGAGACGGGGCCGCGGUGAGGGUGAAACGGUGGUGUAAGAGACCACCAGCGGUUCGGGUGACCGACCGGCUAGGCAAACCUCGCCCGGAGCAAGGUCAGACAGAGGACGUCGAGGUGGCUCGCCGAGUCCUCGGGUAGACCGCUGGAGGGCUGCGGCAACGUAGUCCCGAGAUAGAUGGCCGUCCAUGGUGCCUCGGCACCGGGACAGAACCCGGCGUAUCAGCCGGCCCAUCCG
rfam:Frigoribacterium sp. Leaf164 contig_1, whole genome shotgun sequence.